AUGGAAGACCUCUCUCGCUGUCUCUCUGCCUCUGCCUUUCAAACAAAUAAAUACAUAUUUUUUUUAAAAGAAAAGUAUCACCUUGUCACUGACCCCAGACAUGGGAACCUGGGCCCCGAGGUGUCAGUUCCUUCACCCAAUCCCCAGAAAGCCUCAGCAGCUCGCGUGCCCGCCAGGCAGAGCAUAUCCGUGGCUCACACCCACUCUCCUGGGCGGGCUCUGGUUCCUGAUGUUUGCUCAAGGAGGGGAACUAUCAGGGGAGGUUGUGACUCCCAGCUCCCCACACCCAGCAGGCCGCUGUGUCCUCCUCGAAGCCCUGCCAUCUUCCCCAGGCCAGGCUGUCCGGAGCCGGGUCAGCGCCUGUCCCGAUUCCUCUCCAGCAAGCAUGGUAGCAGCAAGGAGGGAGCAGCCCCGAGAGGAGGCCCUGCAGGGAGGAAGGGAGGCCUGGCAGGAGGAGGCGGGGUGUGGAGGUGGGCAGUGAAGAGGCCCCCACCCUGCACAGCCUGGGGCUCUGCCUGGCGGCCCCUGCGGGUGGGAGGCAUCCCAGUUGUGCGUACAGAAGCCAUCAGCAUGGAAGAAUGCGCCACCCCGGUCAGGAGCGUGCAAGCUGAGAAGCCAGGAGGAGCAGCGGCAGGAAUACCCCACCACCUUGGCCUACCACAGACUGUAGCUAAUCCAGGGAGUGGCCAUCCCAUCAUCUUCACCGGCCCUGCAUCCACUCGCAGGACGGCCUGCCCACUCGGAAUCCUGCCCACUGCAGCCCGUGCACGCCUCAGCAAUCCCGAGGGCCUCCGAUCAAGAAGAGCCCUGACUCUUCAUCAAUGAUGAAUCCUGCCUAGCAACUAUUGCCAGGCAACAGCUCUUCAGAAGGAGACCUUCAAAGCAUGUGGUGGAUGCCCCUUGGUUUGGGAUGAGGGAAUAUAUAGGUCAGCACGUGCUGAGCCCAGGCCUACGUGCAGGAUGACCCUGUCCUGGCCGUGCUGGGUGUCAGGGAGCCUGGUUGGCCCACUGACCAACUGUGGGGCCUUGAGAAAGUCACAUUCUGUGCAUCUGUCAAACUGGGAUCACACCUGAGCUGUCUUCUUUGCAAGGUUGCAGGGAAUCCAGGAUGGGAACAAAGGUGAGCGAGAUGCUUCUAGAAUCAAUGGUUGCAUAAAUGCAGGACCCUGAGGGGGUUUCCCUGAAUUACAACAAGAGAACAGCUUGGUCGUGGCAUUGCCGUUGCAGUUUCACUCAGCGCUCUCAGCAUCUACGUUCUGCUCUCCCCUGUGUGGGGUUUUGGGCCCCAGUGGUCUGUCACUCACUCAUUUAUCAUUCACCCAUGGAUGGAUCUCUGUUGAGCGCCUCCCGCAGGCCAGGCGCUGAGGUCGGAGGGUGCUCUGUGGUGUGUGUCAGGUGAUGAAGGUUGAGUGGAGAGCGAUGAAGACAGCAAGAGGACGAGGCAGCGGUCUGAGGGUGGGGACUGCACUUCUAAAUAGAGUGGUCAGAGACGGUCACGCUCAAAGAGGGAACUUUGAGGAAAGACCAAAAAGAGGUGAGGGAGCAGAACGCCAGGCAGAUGGGGGACAGGGGGACAGCAGGGGCAGAGGCCCUGAGGCACGGCGUGUGCUCCACCGGAAAGAGCCAGAGGUAUACCGGGGAGGCGGGCACCCUGAUGGCACCACCGUACACAAGCGUAUGAGUGUGUCUCUGCAAAAUGCCACAGGAACCCCCAAAGGGAAGGAUGGGACUACAUGCGGAAGAGUCAGCAGGCCAGCCUGCCACUGCUGGUGCGGUGGCAUCGGUCUGGCGCCCACCGUCACUCAAGCCCUCUCCAGCCUGUGCCACAGAGCGGCAAGAAUGGCCUCCGUGGGCCACUUCUGCAUCCUGUCCCCCGUGUUCCCUAAGGGAACCACAGACUGCUUUCCCCACGGCCUCCGAAGCCUGCUCCCAGCCCUGCCUUGGAACACCAGGCCCCGUGUCACAUGGCAGGACACAGUGCAGCAACUCCAUGCACAGCCAUUCCCCUAGACUUUCCUGGGGUUCAGCAGUGAACACCCCAUGUCCUGGGAAACCCUUCAACCCCAGGCAAGUAUGAGCAGUUGCUACAGGAACCGCAGCCACAGACAGCAGUGCCCACCAAUUUCAGAACCUGCCAUGAAGCAAAUCCCAGAAAACGAGCCAAAGCCAGGUCCCAUCUACACCAACGCAGCAACGCGUAGGACAAAGCAAGAGGGUGCCGAGGGAUAAAGCACUGAUGACAGCCAAGAGACGUCUGGCCCAGAUGACAGCAGAGGGGUCCCCUUGGGGCAAGCCAGACACCCAGCGCCAUCUGAGAGAUGAUCGCAUCACCUCCGUUACCCUGAGACCGCCACACAGGUGUUUGAUACCUUUCUAGAAGCGCAUUUAUACACACACGUCCUACAUGCACUUUGAUGAGUGGAACGCAUUUCAUGAUUUUAUAAAAUUAUUUUAAGGAAGACUGUCAGGUGCUUUUCUAUAUAGUUUUUGAGAAGCAAUAUUUUCCAAUGACCCAAAAAUGCACGUUCUCAACUCUGCUAGAAAAAGGAAGCAAAUAGGCCGGUGAAAGUCAGGAGUGACAAACAGAUGAGGAAGACACACGAGACACGUUAGGAAGCCUCGGGGAGGAGCCGGCGCUGUGGCGUAGAGGGUUAAGCCCCCUGCAUUGCCGGCAUCCCAUAUGGGCACCUGUUCCAGUCCCAGCUGCCCCACUCUCGAUGCAGCUCCCUGGGAAAGGGAGCCCUAGUACUUGAGUGCCUGCACCCGUAUGGGAGACCCAGAUGAAGUUCCAGGCUCCUAACUACGAGCUGGCCUUGCCCUGGCUGCUACAGCCAUUUGGGGAGUGAACCAGCAGAUGGAAGAUCUCUCUGACUUUCCCUCUCUUGCUGUAACUCUAUCAAAUAAAUAAAAAAUUUUUUCUUUAAAAAAAAAAAAG
ensembl:lncRNA